rnacentral:rRNA from 1 species
UCGAAUCCUGCACAGCAGAACGACCCGAGACCCAGUUA